AUGAGAAGGCGGGCAACAAAACCCUAUGGCCCUUUAGCUGUGGAAAACUUCGACUGGGACAAGCAGUGGGUUGAUGCAUCAUCCCAGCCGCCUAAAAGCAGCUUGUGGUUCGUGGGAAUCCUAAUGACAUUACUUGGGAUGAUGUUGAUGUGGCCAGUGGCUCAUUUCAAGCUCAUCAAGGUCACAAUGUUCAUAGGAAUCUCAAAAAGACACGAGAGGACAGAUUGGUUGAAAGGUAGGAUGUGUGUUACAAUGGAGAAGAACAGCUGUGAAGAGGAUGGCUGCAAUGUGACAUUAACAACCAGCAAAAUCAACUUUAGUUGCUGGCUCAUUAUACGCGUCGCUCAAAAUGAAGAACUUCACAGCUUGUGGGUUCCGAUGCCAUCUCUGGAGCUCAUGGUCAUAGGGUAUGAUGGUCCCAUCCCUCCAUUGCCCCACUUGUUCAUUGGCAAGAAAAUAACAUUGCAAAAAAAAAGGAAGCUCAUGGGGACCAAGACUGCUACUUCAGCUGAUAUAGAUUUUGAUGGCAGCCUUGGGAAUGGCAAUUUCAACGAGACUGAUGAUUCUGCUGCAAGAAAAAGGGGUAGGCAUGGGGGAUCUUCUCUUGAUGGGAAAAAGCACAAGCGCUUGAAGUAUCCUAAUAUUGAUGCAAAUCCCAUGAAUUUGACCAAAGAUGUAAGAGGAAAUGUUUACCACAACAUGGUGAUGUCUCGUCCUGAAUGCACUGAAACUAAUGAAAAGCCACCAAUUUUGCAAAGAAACAGCACUGAGAAAUCAUCUCCAAAAAAGGUGCUUCAGAGAGAGCAUUCUGAUUGGGUGAACUUCGUGAGUGUCCUUGGGAAAAUGACAACAGGAGCACAAGGAAACAAUUUGAAAGAAAUGGUUGCUCUAUCUGCUUCCCAUGAUCAGAGGAAACCAUCCCCGCAAGAAUUUAAUACUGGAGAAAAUGAGGAAAGAAGUAGGAAUAACUCUUUGAUAGAGACUGGGAAAGGUGGGAAGAGAAGAGACAGUUCUUCGGAACAAGACAAUCUAUUCUUUAAAAAGUACGAUAAAGCUAAGCCAGAGCUGAAAGGUCCAAUAGAAGAUUUCUCACAGUCUUUAGCCACUCCACGUUUAUCCUCCAAACAAAACUGCUACCUGUCCCGAACAGACGUUGUUCCUCGUGGCCGACCCCACGACUCCCUCCCCGUCCUCGCUAUGCCACAUCGCCUCCCUCCCCGCUGCCGCUACGACAUGGGGUUUGAUAUAUCGAGAUCAAGAGGAAGCGGCGUAUCCCCAUCGCUCCGGGAGGUCGACGACGGGCUCCUCCGGCAAGCACGGGGCGUUGAUGGUCUCUUUCGGGCAUGGUCGGAUCUGCGUGUCGGCAGCUGCAGGAAGGCAAGGAUCUGGCCGUGCUCCACGACCACCACAACCAAGGCAGGGAGCGCUGCUCCGACCUCCUCUCUUAUGGCUUCAAGUCUGACGAUGCCCACGACCAGGCGUGCUCCCCUCCAAGAAGCUGCAAUCACUGCUGAUGUACUUCCAUAUAGCAAUUGGGGAGAGGAUUUCCAGGUAGGGAUGCAAGCGGGCAUCCCGCAGAAGCAGUAA
rnacentral:rRNA from 1 species